GGGGAGGAGGCUGAGGUUCAAAGGCAGGGCAUCUGCUUAACAUGCAGAAGGUCCCAGCUUCAAUCUCUGGCCUUCCCA
rnacentral:tRNA from 1 species